ensembl:lncRNA
CACAGAUUUGUAACCUUACAACUGGUCUGGCCUGCAGAUUCAGAUCCACUGAAAGAAAGCAGCACAUGGGGAUGCUGUAGAGUCCUGAUGCAGCAUGUGGUCCUCCAGCUCCCGUGCAAGAACAGAGCGUGUCCAGUGAGAAUGACCUCAAUAUGGCUAUGCAAGGCACUUUAAAGGCCAAGAUGGGAAAGGAAAUGGGCAGUGAGGAGGUGGCAUGACACAGGAAAAGUUAUGUGGAGGCUAUCCCGUAUUUCAUCCCAGGUCACUGCCAUCCAUCAGAGCCAGACCUACCACCUGUGCUCCAACCCUUGGAGGGGAAGGGAAAUGGCUGCAGGAACUAUAGUUUAGUUUUGCUCAGAGCCCUGGCAGUCUUACUAUGAAAAUUUGUGCUUAAAAUCAGGGCUUGAGUACAUCAUUGCCUUUCCUCUCUCAAACAGAGGAAAAAUUUUCAUACAGCUUGUUACACGUCCUGCAACUGUGCUCACAUUCACCUGUCUGUUAUCUGAGCAUUACAUACAAUCUCAGACACUCAUUCAUGGUAGUUAAAAUUUGGCAUCAUUACACAUAUGCAAGCAUUAUUUAAGUGAAGUUUAAGUUUGCUAUAUUCUAUAUUCUCCUGUCUUUCCCCUAACAUUUUUGUUAACAUUGAUACUCAGCUCCAAAUGUCAGAAGAAUCUUUUUCAGUCAUUGCUAAUUUGAACCCUCUGGUCAUUUACAUAUGUGCAGAUGACUUAAUGGAUGCAGUUAGGUAAUUAACUUAACUAUCGGAAGUACAGUUCUUGAUCAUAAUUAUUUGCAGUUCUUGACCAAUUAUACUUUGUUUCAGAUACUUCAUGGGACCGUGGGUAACAGACUACUCACCAUAUGUGUGAGAUGUCAGUCCUUUGCAAUACUCCCAUCUCUCCAGAAGUAUUUUCUAGUUUAUUAUCCCAAAUUAGCACAUUGCAGAUGCUGCAUCUGGCGAAUACUGCUUUGGUGAUUAAAUGGAGUGCUGGCUAAUGUUCUGAUAAGUUGAGUUACUGAGGAAAAAAAAAAUGAUAGCAUAAUUUAGCUGUCAGAUUUUUUUUUCGGUAUCUCAAUAAGUCAUCUGCCUGUCAAUGCCAGAAACAUCACUAAUUGUCAAGGAGAAAGAUGGCUCUUUAACACAAAAAUGGAGCUCUGGGAUAUAUGAUAUCUUAAUACAUUUAGAGGAUGAAUUUUUUUUCAUAACCAGAGCCAAAGAGGAACCAGUGAAAAUCUUAUCAUGGCAGGAAUAUUUUUUUUCCUCAAUUACAAUAAUAGUGAAAUAUCGGGGAAAAAAGCUAGCUAUGAAUUUUUAUGAAUUGUAGAUUAUCACUGGCUGUUUUUCAGGUUCACACUUUUGAAACUAACUUCUGAUGCAUUUUAUCUAACCACUCCAGCAUUUUGAAAAUCGGACAUUGAGAGGAAAAAGUGGAAGUAGUCUUAUUGGAAAACAUGUACAAUGAAAUGUAAAAAUGAACCUUGGUACAAUAAUGG